GGGCGCCCGCGGGGGUCGCACUGCAGUCGCUGGAUCCUCCCGGCGCCUCCCUCGCCCGCCGCCCCGGCUGCGCCCUGGACUUGGCCGCGCAGGUGACCGGGGGGGUGGGGAUCAGCGCGUUUUCGGGAAGCCGCAGCCUCCCAGGUGUUUCCUACGCCCGGCACCCCAGAUCUACCGGGCCCGGCGCCCUCCAAGGUCAGCUGCCUGUCCCUUGCCCUGUGGGAAGCAGAACAUGCCCUGCUACUCCUGUAAACCAGUGAGGAAGCUGUGACUCGGCCUGGCCAGGGUCUUGCCCUGUGGCUGCUGGCUAAGCUGAGGGCCAGGACCAGGCCUCUGCUCUUGUACUGGCGUGACGACAGACAAGGCCAUCCUUGUGCUUUGCAGGACGAGGUGUGACUUGACCCUCAGCAUUCAAGACUGUCACGUUGGCCCUAAAUCAAGUGACAAGAGUCGAGGAGAGACACAGGGAGAAGAGCAGAAAGCCAGGAGAAGAUAGAGGCAGUUGGAGUUAUGUGGCCUCAAGCCAAAGAGGCUGGAAGAGGCAGGAAGGAUCCUCUCCCAGAGCCUCCUGGGGGAGCAUGGCCCUGCUGACACCUUGGUUUUGGACUGCUGGACUCCAGAACUGUGAGAGAAUUAAUGUCAGUUUCUUCAAGCCACCAAGUGUGUGGUGAUUUGUUACAGCAGCCACAGGAAAUGAAUACAGUCCUUCGGUGAGACUGGACACUGAAAGGAGAAGAGGAGGCACCAGGGGUGAAGUCAAGAUGUGGGACGCUCUCUAAGAAAGUGAGGGGUCUUAGCAGGAGUAAGAAAGUUUAGCAUAAAUUGAAAACAUAGGGUAAAGAGUAAAAUGUUGAAUUAGGCAGUGACUUGGAUCUUUGACGGUCUCUACAAGAAAAUGAGAGAAAGGAGUUUAUGAAACUGCUUUCUUGAAUGCUGGCGCCAGCGGAAGCAACGUGCGUUUAUGGUGGCAAUUAAAUGUUGGGAUCUUAAGUGCAAUCUUGGGGGU